GACGUAGGGCGCGAGCGUUGUCCGGAUUUAUUGGGCGUAAAGAGCUCGUAGGCGGCUUGUUGCGUCGACCGUGAAAACCCGGGGCUCAACUUCGGGCUUGCGGUCGAUACGGGCGGGCUAGAGUUCGGUAGGGGAGACUGGAAUUCCUGGUGUAGCGGUGAAAUGCGCAGAUAUCAGGAGGAACACCGGUGGCGAAGGCGGGUCUCUGGGCCGUAACUGACGCUGAGGAGCGAAAGCGUGGGGAGCGAACAGG
rnacentral:rRNA from 1 species